CGCCAGAGUGGAAGGAGCAGAUAAUUCAUUUUGCGGUUGGCUAAAUGAUCUAUCAGCAGAAGAAAAACGAAAACCCGAUGGCGUGAAAUGACGGGCAGUCGGCCAAAGUCGUGGCGACGCCGACCAGUCGCUUCGCGGUCAUGUCCUUUCUGUCGUGUCGUCGUGAAAGAAAAGAACCAAAAUGGCCUAAUACUUUUGAUUUGAUUUCUUCCAACCAAACCAAACAUUUGGCAAUCAAGAAAACAAACAAACAAAGCAGCUGACUGACUGACUGACUGACGUGCCGUGAUUACGCAAGGCCCGCGCGGACUCUCUCCCUCUAAUGAACCAAGAGUGUUGGGAUGAAUUUCCUGGAAUCCGGGUUCUAUAGAUAAAGACCUCCCGGACGUGUCUAAUUGCGAAAUUUGAAUGUUUAAUUUGUCUUUCGACUCGUUCGACGAGGGUGAAAGAUUCAAUAGCCUUCCGUGCCGCUGUCUUCAUGAACGCAUCGAAAAAUUUAAAAAUAAAAAGGACAUUCCGUCUGCCGUGAUGUAAUAAAAACAUUUUGCUCCUUUUUACUUUCAUUUUUUAUGUGUGUCUGUCCUGUCCCCUUCAAAAUGUUA
rnacentral:lncRNA from 1 species